AUUUAAAUAGCUUAUAUAGUAGAGUGUAAUAUUGAAGAUAUUAGGGAAAUUAAUUUAAUUUUUAAAUA
rnacentral:tRNA from 1 species